GUCUGUUGUUGAAACCACCCAGUUUGUGGUACUUUGUUACUGUACUAGUAGCUCUUGAAAACUAAUACACUCCCUUUCUCUAGAAUUGUAGAGCUGUUCCAUUCCACUUCUGGCUAAUCCAGUCCUGGUUUCCUGAACUGAGGUCUCAGAGAAGGUGGGCGGGGCUGUGGCGACCUUGUCAAUCAAAAUGGCUCCUGCAGAGCUUGCCAGAUCUGCUCUUCUCCACCCCAGAGGCUGACCUGCAUGGGCUGCAAUCAACAGCCUCCCUUGUCCCCAGCUCCACUGUGUCUGUUACUGGAGAGCCCAGCAGAUAAGGGGGAAGAAAAUAGAGGCUGCUUUUGGCUGGCUGUGUUACGGAAUGGCUCCUCUCCUUCCCAACCAGUGUGAUGGGCCCGUCCUCUUUAACCCCUGCGAUCUAAGAGUUCAGAAGAAGUGAUAGAUAUGACUUCUGAGCCUGGGCCAUAAAAGAUGCUGAGCUUUCUCCGGGGAGCUGGCUCUGUGGGAAGUCCGUCCACGUAAGAAGUCUGACAACCCUGAACCCACCUGCUGGAGAGACCAUGUGAAACAGUUCAGGAGGCAGCCCAAGCUGAGCUCCCAGCCAACUGCCCAGCAUCAACUGCCAGCCACGUGGAUGAGCCAACUUGGACGUCUGGCCCAAUCAUGCCUUCAGAUGACUGCGGUCUCAGCCAACAUCUAAAUGUAGCCUUGUGAGAGAUCCCAAGGCUCACCAGAGCUCCUUAAUUUCCUGACUCAGAAAA